rnacentral:rRNA from 1 species
AGUUCUCGUUGAUGAUCGGUGCUUGCACCGAGAUUCAACAUGGAACGAGUGGCGGACGGGUGAGUAACACGUGGGUAACCUGCCCUUAAGUGGGGGAUAACAUUUGGAAACAGAUGCUAAUACCGCAUAGAUCCAAGAACCGCAUGGUUCUUGGCUGAAAGAUGGCGUAAGCUAUCGCUUUUGGAUGGACCCGCGGCGUAUUAGCUAGUUGGUGAGGUAAUGGCUCACAAGGCGAUGAUACGUAGCCGAACUGAGAGGUUGAUCGGCCACAUUGGGACUGAGACACGGCCCAAACUCCUACGGGAGGCAGCAGUAGGGAAUCUUCCACAAUGGACGCAAGUCUGAUGGAGCAACGCCGCGUGAGUGAAGAAGGCUUUCGGGUCGUAAAACUCUGUUGUUGGAGAAGAAUGGUCGGCAGAGUAACUGUUGUCGGCGUGACGGUAUCCAACCAGAAAGCCACGGCUAGCUACGUGCCAGCAGCCGCGGUAAUACGUAGGUGGCAAGCGUUAUCCGGAUUUAUUGGGCGUAAAGCGAGCGCAGGCGGUUUUUUAAGUCUGAUGUGAAAGCCCUCGGCUUAACCGAGGAAGCGCAUCGGAAACUGGGAAACUUGAGUGCAGAAGAGGACAGUGGAACUCCAUGUGUAGCGGUGAAAUGCGUAGAUAUAUGGAAGAACACCAGUGGCGAAGGCGGCUGUCUGGUCUGUAACUGACGCUGAGGCUCGAAAGCAUGGGUAGCGAACAGGAUUAGAUACCCUGGUAGUCCAUGCCGUAAACGAUGAAUGCUAGGUGUUGGAGGGUUUCCGCCCUUCAGUGCCGCAGCUAACGCAUUAAGCAUUC